GUGACAAUGGUGUACCAGCAGUAGAGAAGUUUAGGGCAACCCUGGAGCAGGUCCAGGAGACCUAUGAAGAGAUGCGCCCGAGAAGGAAAGUGUCCGCCUCUCCAGAGUUCCCAGACGUCCAUGUUCUCCAUAGAACAAGAGUUUCAUACUUUAAAAAUGGAGCCUGCUAAUCAGCCAGUCUGACACCCAGAAAGAGGGAAACUGAGGCUUCUCCUUCUAGAACGUGGAAGAAGCCGCAUGAGCCUUGACAAAGCCGUUCCAAUCCUGC